rnacentral:rRNA from 1 species
GACGUAGGGGCCGAGCGUUGUCCGGAGUUACUGGGCGUAAAGCGCGCGCAGGCGGUCCAGCACAUCGGCGGUGAAAGCCCCCCGCUCAACGGGGGAGGGUCCGUCGAGAUGGCUGGACUGGAGGCAGGGAGAGGCGAGUGGAAUUCCGGGUGUAGUGGUGAAAUGCGUAGAGAUCCGGAGGAACACCAGUGGCGAAGGCGGCUCGCUGGACCUGACCUGACGCUGAGGCGCGAAGGCGUGGGGAGCGAACGGGAUUAGAAACCCCAGUAGUCC